GUCUAUGGCCAUGCCACCCUGAACGUGCCUGAUCUCGUCUGAUCUCGGAAGCUAAGCAGGAUCAGGCCUGGUUAGCACUUGGAUGGGAGACCACCUAGGAAGACCAGGUGCUGUAGGCG
rnacentral:rRNA from 1 species